UGGGAUGUCACACUGCUUAUGGAAGAAAGG
rnacentral:piRNA from 1 species